rnacentral:rRNA from 1 species
UACGUAGGCAGCGAGCGUUGUUCGGAAUUACUGGGCGUAAAGAGUGUGUAGGCGGUGCUCUAAGUUUGGUGUGAAAUCUCCCGGCUCAACUGGGAGGGUGCGCCGAAAACUGGAAUGCUUGAACAUGGGAGAGGAAAGCGGAAUUCCUGGUGUAGCGGUGAAAUGCGUAGAUAUCAGGAGGAACACCUGCGGUGUAGACGGCUUUCUGGACCAUUGUUGACGCUGAGACACGAAAGCGUGGGUAGCAAACAGG